rnacentral:tRNA from 1 species
GGGGUUGUGGCUCAGUGGUAGAGCACUCGCCUAGCACAUGUGGAGUGCUGAGUUCAAUCCUCAGCACCA